UGGGGAACCUGCCCCAUAGUCUGGGAUACCACUUGGAAACAGGUGCUAAUACCGGAUAAGAAAGCGGAUCGCAUGAUCAGCUUUUAAAAGGCGGCGUAAGCUGUCGCUAUGGGAUGGCCCCGCGGUGCAUUAGCUAGUUGGUAAGGUAAAGGCUUACCAAGGCGAUGAUGCAUAGCCGAGUUGAGAGACUGAUCGGCCACAUUGGGACUGAGACGCGGCCCAAACUCCUACGGGAGGCAGCAGCG
rnacentral:rRNA from 1 species